rnacentral:lncRNA from 1 species
UUUCCUUGAUAUUCUAAGGUUUUGCCAUUAUCUUUAGGCUAGUGAAUUCCGACAGUUGGUCGGGACUGGAUUAGCCCUUGUUUGGGUGAACCAGUAUAAAUCUCUUGUGUUGUUCUCUGUUAACUUUAGUUUUAUAUUUCUUAUAAAAACAACUAAAUAAUACCAAAUUGAAAAAGAUCAUUCUUCCAGUUAUCUGGUCAAAUAAAGAGGUUGACUAUUUUAACGUUUCUAUUUAUCAAAUAUAUACCUCCAGUUAGCUGGUCAUUUACCUUCUUAUUAAUAUAUCCAGUUAU